ensembl:lncRNA
UUCAAAGAGACUGCUCUGAGGUCCCUGGGGAAACAGUUUUGGGUGGUAGUUUUACAUUUCAAAGGGCAGAGAAAGGAUUUAGAAUUGCCAGCUUUCUUAAGUAACUGCUCUAAGAGGGGCUUCAGAGGCCUAUCUGCCUAUUACCAGGUUUUGGCUGGAAGAAAAAGUAAAUUCUGGGAGCAUUGAGAUUUCUCAGGAAGGCACUUCAAAGGGGGCUGGAGUCAUCCUAGGCCCAUGGCUUGAGGCUGAGGGAAGCAUGCUAGAGUUUAACAAGUCUCUUAGUGUAAGAUUUGGAAGGAAUAUUAUGUGCUGAGAGUUCUGCUGUUCUCAGGACACAGCCAUUUAAACACAGGUUUCACAAAUUCAGUUCCAAAAAGGAGGUACAAAGUGUAACUCGACAGGUGGAUAAAGUUUAGACCAGUGCCCCCAACUGGUUACCAAUAGGAGUCUACCAAGCAGUUACCCCGGGAGCCUCAUGGAGAACCACGUCUGCUACAAACCUACUGAAGCGCAGACAGAGUGUCCUUUACUAAUCUGUGUUUUUCAUCUCUCUUUUUCAUGUUUCUUCCAUCCCUCUUUUGCUCUCUCUCUUCCUUUCUUACAUGAAUAUAAUGAUUGCAAAUAUGUUAUACCAUUUCUCUCCAUCUUUCUCCUCUUGGGGAUUUCAAUCCAGACUGUUUUUAUUCAUUUUACAUUUUAGGUGAAGAUUUCUUGACUCCCUUGUUAUCUCUUUUGCUCCUUCAGUGAAUCUUUAUCAAGUGCUGGCUGUGUCCCAGGCAGUGUUCUAGGGCAGAUGAUGUGGGAUAUAUUGGGUUAUCAGAGAAGAUCUCUUUUAUUAUGUGUCAUUUGAGUAGGGGCCAGAAUAACAAGAAUGAACCAGUCAUAUGAUGAUCCUGGAAAGGAAAGUAAGGGCUUAGGUGCUGGGCCAAGGGGUUGAUUGGAAUGUUUCAGAAAAAAAAAAGGAAAGAAGGCAGAACUGGGAAAUUCGUCAGGUGCAGAUCGUGUAAGUGCUUAUGCACCAGUGUAUGAGUCCGCAAGAGCUGUCGUAACACAAUACCACAGACUGGAUGGCUUAAACAACAGAAAUUUAUUUCUCACAGUUCUGGAGGCUGGAAGUCUAAGAUCAAGGUGUCGGCAGGUUUGGUUUCUCGUGAGGCCUCUCUCCUCGGCUUGCAGAUGGCCGCCUUCUUGAUGUGUCCUCUCAUGGCCUGUUCUCUGGGCAUACACAUCCCUGGUUUCUCUUCUUAUAGGGACAUCAGUCAUAUUGCAUUAGGGUCCCACCCUUAUGACCUCCUUUAACCUUAAUUACAUCUUUAAAGGCCCUAUCUUCAAAUAUAGCCACAUUCUAAAGUAUUGGGAGUUACAGUUUCAACAUAGGAAUUCAGGGAGAACAUAAUUCAGUUCAUAACCACCAGGAUUAAGGAGUUGGGUUGAAUUCUAAGUGUCAUGGGAGGCCAUGGUAGGAUUUCAUAUGGGGUGAGUGGCUCUUCCAUGUGAUUUGUUCAUCUUAUACUCUGAGUUGGAGCUUGGAGGUGAGUAUUACUGUCACCAGACAUGAACCCUAACCUGCUUCUCUUGUCCUGCUUAAAAAUAUAACUUUUAUGUUUGACCUAAUUCUCUUGUCUUCCUGAAAGGUGCAGGUGUUCCUUUAUGUAACACCUUGGGGCCUUGAGCUUAGGCAGUUUUCAGCUACAUUCCGAGAAGAAGCUCUAAGUGAGAACCAUCAUGGACCCAGCUGUGCUGAACCAGAUCAGGCCAGCCCAGACCACAGCCACAAGACUGGCACCUGCACAGAUAGGCCGAGAGUUGUACUGAAAUAACCUGCCCUCAUUAACAUGGUAAAAUCCCCUCCUUGGAGAAGGAGAAAGCAGUCAUUUUUAGGUCAUGCGAUGUAUGUAGAAGCAUGCCCUUAAACCAUGCAUGCGCAAGCUUAUGCCCCCCGCUACAUGAGAUGAUGGAACUCUCCCUUUGAAUAUUCAUCCCCUACCUGAAUAAAGAUACCUACCUCCCUGUGCAUGGGGGACCAUAGCUUUCUGACAUUAUUCCCUAUAGUCUCCACCUUUUUCUUUGCUGCCUGCCGUAAAUAAAAACUCGACUUUGUGAAGUAGCACCAGCUACUUCUGGUGCAGUUUGAUUUAAUUCCCAAGAAGGGACCCACAUUUGGUCCAGUAACAUUAUUAUGUAUCCACUUUUCUGAUAUGUGAUGUUUGGGCAUAGGGCAGGGAGAAUUCGGCAGGGAAUACACAGCCUUUGUUGGAGAAACCAGGGUUCCAUCCUCUCUUUCGAGCUUGUGUUAAGUAGAAUCUACAAAAGUUCUCUCCACCAAGCCUGAAAUAUAUUUUAGUCCCAUGGUGUAGGAAUUGUGCAAUUCAGCUUAGAAGCCCAAAGCUCUGAAUGUUCAGUCUGCUUCAUCAGACUGUCUACUGACUGACACAGCUCCAGUAUUCAGCAGAAGCAAAAAUAAGGAGGAUUUCUCUGGAGUGGUUGGGUGAAGGUCAAGUGACUUUGGACUCCCAGUGUACUUCUCCACCCCUACUGCCAGUCCUCUACUCCCUUACAGAGUUUUGUAGUUUCUGUGCCCUCCAUUUAUUGCUUAGAAUAAUUAUCCAGAUAAAGCUGUGAUGAUUUUACUCCUUCCACCUUUCUUUCAGUCUGAGGAGACAAUCUGGAUGGGGGUUGUCUUCUGGAACUUUUUCCUGCUUCAACUGAAGUCCCAUUGUGAUGGUUUUCUUCACAGUUUUCUCUGAAUGCAGGCUCUGUCCCUCAGUGUGUCUUGUUCUACAUUUGUGAAUGCUAGUGAAUAUUCUCGAGAUCUUCCAA